UGCUUUGCUUGGCUUCAAACUCGCUC
rnacentral:piRNA from 2 species